rnacentral:rRNA from 1 species
AGAGUUUGAUCCUGGCUCAGGACGAACGCUGGCGGCGCGCCUAACACAUGCAAGUCGAACGGAGCUGAGAGGAGCUUGCUUUUCUUAGCUUAGUGGCGAACGGGUGAGUAACGCGUGAGUAACCUGCCCUGGAGUGGGGGACAACAGUUGGAAACGACUGCUAAUACCGCAUAAGCCCACGGCCCGGCAUCGGGCUGAGGGAAAAGGAUUUAUUCGCUUCAGGAUGGACUCGCGUCCAAUUAGCUAGUUGGUGAGGUAACGGCCCACCAAGGCGACGAUUGGUAGCCGGACUGAGAGGUUGAACGGCCACAUUGGGACUGAGACACGGCCCAGACUCCUACGGGAGGCAGCAGUGGGGGAUAUUGCACAAUGGGGGAAACCCUGAUGCAGCGACGCCGCGUGGAGGAAGAAGGUUUUCGGAUUGUAAACUCCUGUCGUUAGGGACGAUAAUGACGGUACCUAACAAGAAAGCACCGGCUAACUACGUGCCAGCAGCCGCGGUAAAACGUAGGGUGCAAGCGUUGUCCGGAAUUACUGGGUGUAAAGGGAGCGCAGGCGGACCGGCAAGUUGGAAGUGAAAACUAUGGGCUCAACCCAUAAAUUGCUUUCAAAACUGCUGGCCUUGAGUAGUGCAGAGGUAGGUGGAAUUCCCGGUGUAGCGGUGGAAUGCGUAGAUAUCGGGAGGAACACCAGUGGCGAAGGCGACCUACUGGGCACCAACUGACGCUGAGGCUCGAAAGCAUGGGUAGCAAACAGGAUUAGAUACCCUGGUAGUCCAUGCCGUAAACGAUGAUUACUAGGUGUUGGAGGAUUGACCCCUUCAGUGCCGCAGUUAACACAAUAAGUAAUCCACCUGGGGAGUACGACCGCAAGGUUGAAACUCAAAGGAAUUGACGGGGGCCCGCAC